rnacentral:lncRNA from 1 species
CUUACCACUCAAAACUCACUAAAUUUCAGCUCAAAUUCUGCUACAAUUUUACCCUAAGUCGAAGACGUAGCAGCUAACUCGCCGUCUUUCUGACGUCGCCAACUCCUCGCAGUACAAUCUUCUCCGAUCGGACUCCACGUAAAUAGCACGCUGCCACUUACUUGUCACGGAAUCGUUCCACGAAGGCCAUAAAGCGGAGUCAUUGGCACGUUAGUCCACGAACUCGAAGUCAGUCCCUUAAGGCCAUGGAGCGGCUUUAUUUUUUUUUCUUUUUUUGGCAUAAUUUUAGGGAUUUUGAUAAAUUUAUGGCGAUUGUUGUCUCUUUAAAAAAAAAGAACUCAUCACUUACCUCUCGCGAAAGAAGUCAAUAAUAAUGGCUCGAACUUGAAGAAUAUCGGUUGUUCAAGCUAUAAAAUCUUAGUUAAAGAAAACAACCAAAGGGAAAUGGGAAUAGCUAGCAAGCAGUGGAGUGGGGAUGAAGAUGACGACAAAUACGAACAACAGCAAUUUGUUGUCGGCAAGUGUGAUAGUGUAUUUUUGUGUGAUUCGGUUUGGAUGUAGAAAUUAGGG